GAACCAGGGGUUGAUGUAAUAUUAUGCGGAACGUACCCAAGAGUGGGGGAUAACGUAGCGAAAGUUACGCUAAUACCGCAUACGAUCUAUGGAUGAAAGCAGGGGACCUUCGGGCCUUGUGCUCCUGGAGCGGCCGAUAUCUGAUUAGCUAGUUGGUGAGGUAAAGGCUCACCAAGGCGACGAUCAGUAGCUGGUCUGAGAGGACGACCAGCCACACUGGAACUGAGACACGGUCCAGACUCCUACGGGAGGCAGCAGUGGGGAAUUUUGGACAAUGGGCGCAAGCCUGAUCCAGCAAUGCCGCGUGAGUGAAGAAGGCCUUCGGGUUGUAAAGCUCUUUUGUCAGGGAAGAAACGGGUUUGGCUAAUAUCCAGUCCUAAUGACGGUACCUGAAGAAUAAGCACCGGCUAACUACGUGCCAGCAGCCGCGGUAAUACGUAGGGUGCAAGCGUUAAUCGGAAUUACUGGGCGUAAAGCGUGCGCAGGCGGUUUUGUAAGUCUGACGUGAAAUCCCCGGGCUCAACCUGGGAAUUGCGUUGGAGACUGCAAGGCUAGAAUCUGGCAGAGGGGGGUAGAAUUCCACGUGUAGCAGUGAAAUGCGUAGAGAUGUGGAGGAACACCGAUGGCGAAGGCAGCCCCCUGGGUCAAGAUUGACGCUCAUGCACGAAAGCGUGGGGAGCAAACAGGAUUAGAUACCCUGGUAGUCCACGCCCUAAACGAUGUCUACUAGUUGUCGGGUUUUAAUUAACUUGGUAACGCAGCUAACGCGUGAAGUAGACCGCCUGGGGAGUACGGUCGCAAGAUUAAAACUCAAAGGAAUUGACGGGACCCGCACAAGCGGUGGAUGAUG
rnacentral:rRNA from 1 species